ACUACGGGUGGCAGCAGUGGGGGAUAUUGCACAAUGGGGGGAACCCUGAUGCAGCGACGCCGCGUGGGUGAAGAAGCGCCUCGGCGCGUAAAGCCCUGUCAGCAGGGAAGAAAAUGACGGUACCUGAAGAAGAAGCCCCGGCUAACUACGUGCCAGCAGCCGCGGUAAUACGUAGGGGGCAAGCGUUAUCCGGAUUUACUGGGUGUAAAGGGGGCGGAGACGGGGAUGCAAGACAGGAGUGAAAGCCCGGGGCCCAACCCCGGGACUGCUCGUGGAACUGCGUGGCUGGAGUGCAGGAGGGGCAGGCGGAAUGCCUGGUGUAGCGGUGAAAUGCGUAGAUAUCAGGAGGAACACCGGUGGCGAAGGCGGCCUGCUGGACUGCAACUGACGUUGAGGCCCGAAAGCGUGGGGAGCAAACAGGAUUAGAUACCCGAGUAGUC
rnacentral:rRNA from 1 species